rnacentral:rRNA from 1 species
GCAGUGCGGCUGCUACCAUGCAGUCGACGAAGAGGCCCCUUCGGGGGUACUUCAGUGGCGGACGGGUGAGUAACACGUAGGUGACCUGCCCCGAAGUGUGGAAUAACAGUCCGAAAGGAUUGCUAAUACCGCAUGUGGUCUGUGAGGUUAGAGUCUUGCAGACUAAAGCAGUAAUGUGCUUCGGGAGGGGCCUGCGCCCCAUCAGCUAGUUGGUAGGGUAAUGGCCUACCAAGGCAACAACGGGUAGGGGGCCUGAGAGGGUGACCCCCCACAUUGGCACUGACACACGGGCCAAACUCCUACGGGAGGCAGCAGUGAGGAAUAUUGCUCAAUGGGCGAAAGCCUGAAGCAGCAACGCCGCGUGCGCGAUGAAGGCCUUCGGGUCGUAAAGCGCUUUUGAGAGGGACGAGAUAGGACGGCACCUCUGGAAUAAGUCACGGCUAACUACGUGCCAGCAGCCGCGGUAAAACGUAGGUGGCAAGCGUUAUCCGGAUUCACUGGGCGUAAAGCGCGUGCAGGUGGCUUCGUAAGUUGGACGUUAAAUCUCCCGGCCUAACCAGGAGGAGUCGUUCAAUACUGCGGGGCUGGAGGGCAGAAGAGGGGGGUGGAAUUGCUGGUGUAGUGGUGAAAUGCGUAGAUAUCAGCAGGAACACCUGUGGCGAAAGCGGCCCCCUGGUCUGCUCCUGACACUCAGACGCGAAAGCUAGGGGAGUGAACGGGAUUAGAAACCCCGGUAAUCCUAGCCGUAAACGAUGGAUGCUAGGUGUGGGUGGUAUUGACCCCAUCCGUGCCGAAGCUAACGCGUUAAGCAUCCCGCCUGGGGACUACGGCCGCAAGGUUAAAACUCAAAGGAAUUGACGG